CACGUAGGGGGCAAGCGUUGUCCGGAUUCAUUGGGCGUAAAGAGCUCGUAGGCGGUCUGUCGCGUCUGCUGUGAAAACUCAGGGCUUAACCCUGAGCUUGCAGUGGGUACGGGCAGACUAGAGUGCGGUAGGGGAGACUGGAAUUCCUGGUGUAGCGGUGAAAUGCGCAGAUAUCAGGAGGAACACCGGUGGCGAAGGCGGGUCUCUGGGCCGUAACUGACGCUGAGGAGCGAAAGCAUGGGGAGCGAACAGG
rnacentral:rRNA from 1 species